rnacentral:rRNA from 1 species
UACGUAGGGUGCAAGCGUUGUCCGGAAUCAUUGGGCGUAAAGCGCGCGUAGGCGGCCCGAUAAGUCCGCUGUAAAAGUCAACGGCUCAACUGUUGAAAGCCGGUGGAUACUGUCGGGCUAGAGUACGGAAGAGGCAAGUGGAAUUCCUGUGUAGCGGUGGAAUGCGCAGAUAUCAGGAGGAACACCUAUAGCGAAGGCAGCUUGCUGGGACGUUACUGACGCUAAGGCGCGAAAGCGUGGGGAGCGAACAGG